rnacentral:lncRNA from 1 species
UUUUAUUACGAGUUGAAUUUGAUCUUUAGACGUAGAGGACGUAGAGUUCGAAGCAUUUGAACUCAAACUUGAUUAAUCUCAUCGGAAUGGCCCGGGCCUGAAGUUUCUGAGCUCUCGGUUCUGACCCAGCUCCUUGCGCGACUCCAGCCUUCUCACGAUCCUGACAAAUGAACUUGGACUGAAGCUUCCAGCGGCAUCUUCUCUGUUUAUUCUAUAAAAGCAAUCCCUUUCAACCCUUCGAACCAAUCUGUUUUGCAAGAGCCUAUUUUCCACUAGAAUAACAUGGUGCCUAAAAAGUAAAUGUAUUUGCUUGGAGGGCUAAUCAAAACCGAAUCGCCGCUCUAGCUGAGCUCAUAAAAAGAAAUAUUAAUGUUGGUCCCAUCUCUUGCAAACUUUUCCCAGAUUCUAACCUCUUGCAUUUGGGUGUCCAAAUUUGGCAUAACAUCUCUUCUUGGUGCAACAUUGCGUCUAUGAUUGCCUUCACGGUAAAUGACCUCCUUUCGAUUCACGAAGCUUACAGUUUGGGACGACGAAAAAGGGAGAUUCUUCAAGGCAUUAUCCUUAUGGCAUGCUAGUGUAUUUGGAAGACAAGAAACGGAUGGUUUUUUCGGGGAACAAAAAGGAGUAUAAAUCUAGUUAUGGGGGAUAUAAAAGCGUUAAGUUUCUUUUGGAAAUGACCUAGCAUGGAGGGAUUGGCUUCUUGCUAGCUUUGUUAUUGAAGU